UACGGAGGGAGCUAGCGUUGUUCGGAUAUACUGGGCGUAAAGCGCACGUAGGCGGCGCAGCAAGUCAGGGGUGAAAUCCCGGAGCUCAACUCCGGAACUGCCUUUGAAACUGCAGUGCUAGAAUCCUGGAGAGGCGAGUGGAAUUCCGAGUGUAGAGGUGAAAUUCGUAGAUAUUCGGAAGAAACACCAGUGGCGUAAGGCGACUCGCUGGACAGGUAUUGACGCUGAGGUGCGAAAGCGUGGGGAGCAACAGG
rnacentral:rRNA from 1 species